AGAGUUUGAUCCUGGCUCAGGAUGAACGCUGGCGGCGUGCCUAAUACAUGCAAGUCGAACGCUUCGAUUUAUCGAAGAGUGGCGAACGGGUGAGUAAUACAUAAGUAACCUGCCCUUAACAGGGGGAUAACUACUAGAAAUGGUAGCUAAGACCGCAUAGGUGGAUUGAUCGCAUGAUCGAUUCAUUAAAAGACCUUUCAAGGUCUGGAUAAGGAUGGACUUAUGUCGCAUUAGCUAGUUGGUAAGGUAACGGCUUACCAAGGCGACGAUGCGUAGCCGGCCUGAGAGGGUGAACGGCCACAUUGGGACUGAGACACGGCCCAAACUCCUACGGGAGGCAGCAGUAGGGAAUUUUCGGCAAUGGGGGAAACCCUGACUGAGCAACGCCGCGUGAAGGAAGAAGGAAUUCGUUUCGUAAACUUCUGUUAUAAAGGAAGAAAGAUGAUAUCAGGAAAUGGAUGUCAAGUGACGGUACUUUAUGAGAAAGCCACGGCCAACUACGUGCCAGCAGCCGCGGUAAUACGUAGGUGGCAAGCGUUAUCCGGAAUUAUUGGGCGUAAAGAGGGAGCAGGCGGUAACGAAGGUCUGUGGUGAAAGCCUGAAGCUUAACUUCAGUAAGCCAUAGAAACCAGGUAACUAGAGUGCAAGAGAGGAUCGUGGAAUUCCAUGUGUAGCGGUGAAAUGCGUAGAUAUAUGGAGGAACACCAGUGGCGAAGGCGACGAUCUGGCUUGUAACUGACGCUGAGUCCCGAAAGCGUGGGGAGCAAAUAGGAUUAGAUACCCUAGUAGUCCACGCCGUAAACGAUGAGUACUAAGUGUUGGGGGUCGAACCUCAGUGCUGCAGUUAACGCAAUAAGUACUCCGCCUGAGUAGUACGUUCGCAAGAAUGAAACUCAAAGGAAUUGACGGGGGCCCGCACAAGCGGUGGAGCAUGUGGUUUAAUUCGAAGCAACGCGAAGAACCUUACCAGGUCUUGACAUAUAUCUAAAGGCUCCAGAGAUGGAGAGAUAGUUAUAGAUAUACAGGUGGUGCAUGGUUGUCGUCAGCUCGUGUCGUGAGAUGUUGGGUUAAGUCCCGCAACGAGCGCAACCCUUGUCGUUAGUUACCAUCAUUAAGUUGGGGACUCUAACGAGACUGCCAGUGAUAAGCUGGAGGAAGGCGGGGAUGACGUCAAAUCAUCAUGCCCCUUAUGACCUGGGCUACACACGUGCUACAAUGGAUAGUGCAAAGGGAAGCGAGACCGCGAGGUGGAGCAAAACCCAUAAAACUAUUCUCAGUUCGGAUUGUAGUCUGCAACUCGACUACAUGAAGUUGGAAUCGCUAGUAAUCGUGAAUCAGCAUGUCACGGUGAAUACGUUCUCGGGCCUUGUACACACCGCCCGUCACACCAUGAGAGUUGAUAACACCCGAAGCCGGUGGCCUAACCGCAAGGAAGGAGCUGUCU
rnacentral:rRNA from 1 species